CGAUCACGGCGACGCGAGCAAUUCGCAGCCCGCGACAUCGCAAGAAGUCCACUGAACCUUAUCAUUUAGAGGAAGGAGAAGUCGUAACAAGGUUUCCAUAGGUGAACCUACGGAAGGAUCAUUG
rnacentral:rRNA from 1 species